rnacentral:snRNA from 1 species
AAACACAACCAGACCCAGU